CGAUGGUUCAAGUCGUGCUAUUUCUGAACAUGGUUAAACAUCAAAUUAUAUUUUUGCCAUUUAUCGACCUUUUUGAAGACGGUACUUUUGGUCUAUUAACUCCAGUGCUGAAUUUAUUAACUUAGUUUAUGCAAGGUCACAAAUAUGUGUUUCAAAGAUAGAUAUACAAUUGGACGUAAUACAAAAUAAACACGGUACUUAAUUUUUAAAAUGCAUUGUAUGAAGUCGAACCGAGGACCAGAUAUUCGAAAGAAGCACAAUACCAAAAAUAUCUGGAAAAGGCUGGACAGUUCCAGCUGAAGAAUAGAUCUGCAUCGGGAAGUAUUAACAUAUUAACACUUUCAUCCAAUUGGAAAUAUUACGAGGUUAAAUAUUAACACAUCUAAUGAAUGACGAUAGAAUGUAUUGUGUUAAUCUCUGUGACAAAAACGUGUCAACCAUACAAAAUUUUAAACAAAGUGGGGGUGAUUAGCAGUAUCUAAAAUUGUCGUCAGUUUUUAUUUGUGUGUAGUAUUUUUUUUUUUCGUUGGAGUUUUUAUUUUAAUUUCAUAAUCCAAAUAUCAAUAGUUAUGUUUUUUUUAUUUACUAAUACAUUUCAUUUUGUGUUUUUCGUCCACUUGAAACAAAGAGCGACCUAACUGGUUCAAGAGGCCACCAUGACCACUGGCUACACGUUCUGAGGUUCACGAUUAGGG
rnacentral:lncRNA from 1 species